CAUGCCCUGCUACCGCUGUCAACAAUUAAGGUGCAUGGCCUCCGUAGAUCUCCGGCUCACUCAAUAAUUAAGGCGCAUGGACUCCGCAGAUCUCCGGUUCACUCAACAAUUAAGGCGCAUGGCCUCCGCAGAUCCUCGGCUCACUCAACAAUUAAUGCGCAUGCUAUCCCCGGAUCACAGGCCCUCCACAGUAACCAGUUGACCCACUCGACUGCGUCCGAUCACGCACGACGACUCAUUGACUCCAGCCUGAUCUUCCACGGCAAUGCAUUAAUUUGCACAAUCUUGCUCAAUCAUGACGGUAACUCGUUCGUCCGUCACAUCAUAGGUAAUCCUGUACUCCCCUAUAAAAGAAAAAUCCCUCCCUCUCAGAAGGGGGCUGGA
rnacentral:lncRNA from 1 species